rnacentral:rRNA from 1 species
UACGUAGGUGGCAAGCGUUGUCCGGAAUCACUGGGCGUAAAGCGCGCGCAGGCGGCGAUCUACGUCUGGGGUGAAAGCCCGGAGCUCAACUCCGGGACUGCCUUGGAUACGGGAUCGCUUGAGGAUUGGAGAGGCAAGGGGAAUUCCACGUGUAGCAGUGAAAUGCGUAGAGAUGUGGAGGAAUACCGAUGGCGAAGGCAGCCCCCUGGGUCAAUACUGACGCCCAUGCACGAAAGCGUGGGGAGCAAACAGG